rnacentral:rRNA from 1 species
AUUGAACGCUAGCGGGAUGCUUUACACAUGCAAGUCGAACGAGUGGCGGACUGGUGAGUAAUAUAUCGGAACUUGCCCAGUCGCGGGGGAUAACUACUCGAAAGAGUGGCUAAUACCGCAUACUGUUGGAUCGGCCGAUCUCGGAUUAGCUAGUUGGUGGGGUAAAGGCUAACAAAGGCAACGAUCCGUAGCUGGUUUGAGAGGAAGACCAGCCACACUGGGACUGAGACACGGCCCAGACUCCUACGGGAGGCAGCAGUGGGGAAGUUUGGACAAUGGGGGAAACCCUGAUCCAGCCAUCCCGCGUGUAUGAGAAGGCCUUCGGGUUGUAAAGUACUUUUGGCAGAGAAGCGGUAUCUGCAGAAUAAGCACCGGCUAACUACGUGCCAGCAGCCGCGGUAAUAC